CCUACGGGAGGCAGCAGUGAGGAAUAUUGGUCAAUGGGCGGAAGCCUGAACCAGCAAAGCCGCGUGAGGGAGGAAGGCUCUAUGUAUCGUAAACCUCUCUUAUAAGGGUAUAAAGUCUGGGACGCGUUCCGCUUCGCAUGUACCUUACGAGCAAGCAUCGGCUAACUCCGUGCCAGCAGCCGCGUUAAUCCGGAGGACUCGAGCGUUAGCCGGAUUUAUUGGGUUUAAAGGGCGCGUAGGAGGGCUUUUAGGGCAGCAGUGAAAGUCCGGGGCUCAACCAUAGAAUUGCCUUUGAACCUGGGGGGCUUGAGUACGGUAGAGGCAGGCGGAAUGCGUGGUGUAGCGGUGAAAUGCAUAGAUAUCACGAAGAACCCCGAUUGCGAAGGCAGCCUGCC
rnacentral:rRNA from 1 species